CUCCUAGUGGUCCCCUGCAGAACUGACUAAUUUAGUCCAGUGCACGUCAGUGACGUCAUCCUGCAAGCGGCGGAACUCAGUCGAACUACUAAAACUCACCGGUCACGCCAUAAAGAGCCAGAACUCAGCUUCCAAACAAUGCGAUGGUUCAGCGUGGCGCACAGGAAGUUGUUGACUUGAGGCACCUAAAAACACCCAAAUAAGGAGAAGUGGAGCCUGCGGCUUAAUUUGACUCAACACGGAGAACCUUACCUGGCCCGGACACGGAAUGGAUUGACAGAUUGAUGACUUCAAACCCGGUGCGCCUAAUAAUCGGGUCAGGGUCCAAAGGCAUGGAGUCCAAGACGACUGAAGACCCUUUUCUGCUGCAGCCUUCUUUCGCCAUCGCAGCCAUUGUGGUAGUUCUUCCAUCUGCUCUGCUGUUGAGGUCUUCGCCGUAUCCCUGGCUAGGGGUCAGUCAGGUACUAGGCCUUUGCCAAGGGCCACCUGAGGUAACAAUAGUAAAGGAAGGGGUUAACAUCCUAUUGCCCCAAGACCCCAUAGAGGAGCCUCCA